rnacentral:rRNA from 1 species
GGCUUGCGACACAUUAGUUAGUUGGCAGGGUAAAGGCCUACCAAGACUAUGAUGUGUAGCUGGACUGAGAGGUUGAACAGCCACAUUGGGACUGAGACACGGCCCAAACUCCUACGGGAGGCAGCAGUAGGGAAUUUUCGGCAAUGGAGGAAACUCUGACCGAGCAACGCCGCGUGAACGAUGAAGUACCUCGGUAUGUAAAGUUCUUUUAUUAAGGAAGAAAAAAGAGUGGAAAAACUCCCUUGACAGUACUUAAUGAAUAAGCCCCGGCUAAUUAUGUGCCAGCAGCCGCGGUAAUACAUAAGGGGCGAGCGUUAUCCAGAAUUAUUGGGCGUAAAGGGUGCGUAGGCGGUUUAAUAAGUCUAUAGUUUAAUUUCAGUGCUUAACGCUGUUGUGCUAUAGAAACUGUUUUACUAGAGUGAGUUAGAGGCAAGCGGAAUUCCAUGUGUAGCGGUAAAAUGCGUAAAUAUAUGGAGGGACACCAGAGGCGUAGGCGGCUUGCUGGGACUUUACUGACGCUGAGGCACGAAAGCGCGGGGAGCAAACAGGAUUAGAUACCCUGGUAGUCCACGCCGUAAACGAUGAGUACUAAGUGUCGGGUAAAACCGGUACUGAAGUUAACACAUUAAGUACUCCGCCUGAGUAGUACGUACGCAAGUAUGAAACUUAAAGGAAUUGACGGGAUUCCGCACAAGCGGUGGAUCAUGUUGUUUAAUUCGAAGAUACACGAAAAACCUUACCAGGUCUUGACAUUUUCUUGCGAGGUUAUAGAAAUAUAAUGGAGGUUAUCAGGAAAACAGGUGGUGCAUGGUUGUCGUCAGCUCGUGUCGUGAGAUGUUAGGUUAAGUCCUAAAACGAGCGCAACCCUUGUCGUUAAUUGCCAGCAUGUAAUGAUGGGGACUUUAACGAGACUGCCAAUGUAAAAUUGGAGGAAGGUGGGGAUUACGUCAAAUCAUCAUGCCCCUUAUGAUCUGGGCUACAAACGUGAUACAAUGGUUGAUACAAAGAGUAGCUGAAACGCGAG